UGCCAUCUUCUCUCAUUGACGAGGGCUGGCUGCACAGAAUGAAGACGAACGAUUUCAUACCCAUACGAAGACUCGUACAGACCGCACCACUGAGUUGGGCGGUUGUCGCGGCUGCAACCUUCUCCGGCUCUGCCCUGUGAGGACUCGCUUUCGGGAGUUCUUGCGGAAAGUCUGAGGAGGAUGUAGACCACGUUCGAACCACGCGGAUCUUCGUCAGAUCUACACUCGAGUGUCUUCGAGCACUUGAGAUGUGAUCAUGCGGUAUCGACCUUCUUGGGGCGUAGACUCGGAUGUGUUUCACGGGGAGGCUGCGCCGGACUUGGGAUCGUAACCAAGUUCGUCAGGACUACGGGAGACAGUCUGAAGAUGUACCGAGUCACGAUGAGUGGAGUGUUGGUGUCCAUGAAGAACAAAACGCGUCUCCGUCUCGAACUAAUUCCUAGAAGAAUCUAGAAGCAUGACGAUGGAGAAGUUCGGGGUCACCUAUUCUGCGCUCAUCGUCCGGAUCGGAGGCCCACCCGGGUCUACGCCCCUGCUGCUAACGUUUCAACGGACUAUGGCUCUGGACAAUAAUAGGCUAUAAGUGACCAGGUGACGGGUGUUUUCCGUAAAUACUCGCAACACUCCCCCAGCUUGUCCACAGGGCUGGGGGGUGUUGUACUAUAUAUUUUUUGGUUUUUUGUUUACAAAGGGAGUUGGGAGAAUAUUAGAAUUAAAUCGGAAACCUUUUUAGUUUCAUUCCGGUAGAACACGAAAAAAACUUAACCAUGAGAAGCAUUGAUAACCAAUAGCUAUUAGAGUUAAGUGCAAAUGCAGCAGCACAACAAACUAUAAACGAAAUAUCAACUAGUUUGUAAGACAUUUGAUUGUACCACUAUAUGACCACUAAAUGAUGAUGAUGAUAAAAAAAAAUCAAUUAUUGUCGCAAUAUGUGCCAUCAGCGCACUAUUCGGCACCAACUAUAUGAAACUUUGCAAUUAUAUAACAUUUGUCCUCGUGACACAAAACCCUAAAUGAAUUAAAUGAUGAUGAUUUUGAAAACGAAGAUUAUACCAAAUCGAUGAAGAAAAGGAGAACAAUAAUUGAAAAAUAGGUGUGAGGAAAUAAAAAACGGAAAAAACCAUACAAUUAAAGUUCUUUUCAUUUACACGCAUUGACGAAAGUUACGGAAUAGUAGAAAUAGUUUGAUUGCAUAACCACAGUAGGAUUUCAUUUUUUUUCUCAGGUAUUAUUUGACAUAAAGUCCACAAGGUACGAUCCUUGCUGUAAUAGAACUGGUUAGAGGCCUAAAUAAAACAAUAUACAAACUGGAAUCAGUA